UACUACAAAUACUGUGCUGCCAGAAGGCUCAUUUGUGGCAGAGUUGAUUAACAAGUCAACACCGCACCUCCUCCCCCGGACUCGCAUGGCCCAUGAAAUCAAUGGCAGCUAAUGGUAUGGGCUCUGACACAUGCAGUGAAACCUGCCCGGAAGCUUUUCGCAUCUGCCGCGCGACCUGAAACCACUGAAGUGUUUGCGUCACCAUACGCACCGUGUUCAGACCACUCGUCCCACAGGUGCAGGACGUCCUCAUCGUGAUGUUCGUGGUGCUCGUGGUGUUCUGGGUCAGGGUCUGUGUCCAAACACACACAAACGGCCAUGUGAAGGUGCAGGCGUGCAAGCUUAUCGCAAAGGUGCUGAAGGCUGAUGCGUGAAAAACUAAUCACAGCAAACAUGGACAGAUAAACCAGUCCUGUGGGUGAGUUCAAAGGGCCACGGAGAUAAAUCUACAAGAGGACGUGGAUGAAGGCUGCAAGGACGGGAUUAAGUGAAAACACACGAACAGGAAAUGAUGAAAACGAAAGGAGAGAGCGAACAGCUGUGUUGGUGCCGGGGGGUUCAUAAAACUAACGCAAUAAUAUUUUUAGAUAUAAAAGUAUAUAUAUUAUAAUCCUGUUUGAGGCUCAGUUCUUUGGAAUCAGAAGAUAAAAGUUAGGCUCAGUACCAUUGGAGUGAUGCCACAGCAUCCGCUUGAGUUCCCUGAGGGCUUUGGUGAGGUUCUCCAGCUGGUCGUGAAGAUGGAUGUUCUCCUCUAUCAGUGCAUGAAUUGUGUCCUGUAGCUCAAAGCUCCGACUCUGCAGGACCAGCAGAGCGACAGGCAUGAAGAAAAGCACCGGCCUUAGUCUCCUCAUCGCAACCACAGCGCCCAGGCUCUAUGACAUCUUCACAGGCGCCGGUCCACCAGAAGCCCGUGUGGAAGAGAUGCGCCCCGCUGCCGAAAUGAUCGGUGCAGGAUAUUCCAUCAGCUUAAACUCCAGGGGAGGUGACCGCUUGUUCCUUUCCAAAGCCGUGUGUGGAAAGCUGCCAGCGGGCUGCUUUAAAAUCCAUCCGAUGUUUCUGCAUCAGUGAGCGCAGCGACCAAAGCAGCAGAGGCCCUCGCUCGCUCGCUCGACUGAAAAUCCACUUCAAACCACACAAAUACACGAUGCAGACACAUUGAGUGUUCAGGUCUUCAGGGAUUUGUGGAAAACUGUCCAAAUUUUCAGGAAAAAUGUGCCAACUGAUACAUCAAUACGGACAAACAUCCUCCUGCUUUGUAACUACUUCAUUUCAGCUCAUGUCUGUCACGUGUGGUACAGGAAGCACACGAGGACAGUGAGGUGAAGGGGACAGACUGAAGCCAUGUCUGUAUAAAUAUUUGAAAACCUUGCUUAGAGAACAAAAGGUAGCUUUUUCUCCAGUCAUAGUUGCUGAAUGGUUGUGUAGGUUUCAGCUGCACCGACAUGUUCAGAGGCUGUUCUGGUGCUGAGGUCUUUCAGCAAAAGGUGCAACAGAGUUCACUGCAAACCGAUCACUUAAACUAAGUGCUCACUCACUGAAAUGUUUUCUAACCACAACAGCCAAACUGCAUCAGGCUGGGGUAUGUUUUGUUUGUUUGACCACAGAUUGUAACCCACAUAACUUUUGUGAUAUGAAACACUUAAUUCUCCUCUCAGAAACCACAGAUGUAAUCAAGAUGCUGGGGCAAGUUAAGACUCAGAAAAAUAUGCAGUUUUUUUCCAAACAAGAAGCUUUUAUUUAUUUAUCAUGUGUAUGAGUUUAUGCGGUCUUGGUGGCCCUGGUGCGCUUCUUCUUGACCACAACAGGCUUCUGGCUCUUCAGAAUAGCACUGGCACGACGCAGGGCAGCC